GGAGCCUCUUGUCUAGCCACAAUGAACUAAAUCCCUUUAGAAAGGGUGGGCAUUAACAAAUCUUGUUGUCACUUCGAAGGGAGCAGUCAAACUUAGAAACUAAGUGUAGAACCAUAGAAAGGUUACCCCAUCGGUUAUUGUGUGCGUACCAAAGAAAGAAAAGAGAGACUUGCAAAUGUAAAACUUAAGACAGCGAGACAAUUAAGAGCUAAAAAAAACAAAGAACAUAUGCAUUAUACAUCAGAAAAAUCCCAUAAAAAAAUGAAGGGAAACUUCACUUUUGGCCUAACCAAAAGCAGACCACCUACUCUUAGCGUUCUAGACAUAGCAUUGAGUUUGAUGAGGGCUUUGAAAAGAGGAGGAAUCCUCCCCGUUCCACACUAGGGGAAAAACGAGACUUGUCACUCCGAAGGGAGCAGUCAAACUUAGCAUUGAGUUCAAGGUAUCCUUCUUAGAUUCUUGAAUCAUGACUACAUUAGGACUACAAUGAGCACCAUUGUUAUGGAUCAAAAUAAAGUUCCAAAUGUUCAUCCAAUCGUGCCAUCAAAUGUGUCAGAAGGAAAUAUUCAUGUUAGCAUUGGAAAGACGUCAAUAGCAGUGGAAAGAAUUGAAGAAAAAAGUGAAACAAAAGUGAAUGGAGACAGGAAAAUGAAAUUAUCCCAGAAAAGCCAACAAUGUGUAGCAAAUGGUACAAACAAGAGUUGAGAAAAGAUGGGGCGUGAUUUCAUGGUUUCAAAUGGGAAGUCAUCAUGUGUAUUUAAGGGGAAAAUAUUUUGUUUUUUCUAGUUCCUUUCCAGAAGAUCGGAGAGCUGAAAUUGUUGAAUGGAUAAAUCAAGGGGGAGGCGAGGUUGUUGAAGAUCACAUGAAGCAGAAAGUGCACUUCACUGUUGAAUGUCAUGGUGGGAUACCAAGGAGUACAGACGUUCAUAGUACUUAUGUGUCAAGUCAUCGGGUUCGAUCAUGUUUA